GGUCUUAAGUUUGCUGGUGGAUAGUCAUAUACAAGCAACUUGUUGCAAUAACACAUGAGUAACUUAACAUGUGAGCAGUGCCAUUCAGUUCAUCAACAAGACUGCAUAAGUACUUUCAGUACAGGCAAUUAGCCAAAACUAUUUUAAUUCUUUGGCAUCAAAACACUGAAACAGAACCAUGGUGAACAUGAUGCAACGGAAAACAGUUACUUUGGACAACAGAUUCCUGUGAGAGGGAGGGACGCCCUUUCCUGCCUCCAGCUUCCAUCUCUGAGUGUCAUUAACAUAAUUACUAGAAGAGGGCAUCAUUCUGCUAUUUGCUUCUGCUGUAUAAAUGUCAAAGGCUGCUGGCACUAAAGGGAUCUCAGCAAUCAUCUAA